GGCCCAGCUUGGCGUAAUGGUUUGAGUGUUGGAUUGUAAUUCCAGAAACCAGGGUUCAAUUCCCCACUCAGCCA